UACGUAGGGUGCAAGCGUUAAUCGGAAUUACUGGGCGUAAAGCGUGCGCAGGCGGUUAUGUAAGACAGUUGUGAAAUCCCCGGGCUCAACCUGGGAACUGCAUCUGUGACUGCAUAGCUAGAGUACGGUAGAGGGGGAUGGAAUUCCGCGUGUAGCAGUGAAAUGCGUAGAUAUGCGGAGGAACACCGAUGGCGAAGGCAGCUGUCUGGACUGAUACUGACACUGAGGCGCGAAAGCGUGGGGAGCAAACAGG
rnacentral:rRNA from 1 species